rnacentral:miRNA from 4 species
UAAAGCUAGAUUACCAAAGC